CCGGGGUAUAAUAAUUACACAAAAUGUUUUGGUUCAUGUGUAAGUUAAUUGACAUGCCUGGUCAGGGAAGCCUCCACUCCACUAGGACUCGCAACUGAGCCAUGCUUUUCUUCGUUGGUAGCCGGGUAUAAAUAGGGGUCGCGCACCUCUCCCGCUCUCUUUCCUGCACGGUGUCGAGUGGUAAGAGGAGCGAGCUGAGCAUUCACUGGAGGCUAACUGUUGUAUGUAUUUUUCUUCUAUGACCAGCAAUAAAGGGCCCCGUGAAUAGCAAGUGUGUCGGUCCAUGUGUCCCAAUGCUAACACAACGCAGCACGGCCAGUCACCAGAGGGACAGGCGAGGAUUAAGAGGACAGUUUAGAGACCCAAAGGCGACCGGU